AGUUCUGAACAAAAACUGAUAUACUAUAUGCUUUAAGAAACUGAUCUGACAAUCUUUUGGGUAAAAGUUGCUUAUUUUCACAUGCAACUGACUCAGAAACAACACUAGCAUCCAGCUGUAGGCAUGUUUUUUUUAAAUUGUUAGCAUACAGUUGGCUACCAUGGCAGGAAACAAGCAGAUGGCAGCAGAAAGAGUGAAGAAAAAGAGUACAAUUGUGAGCUGUUAAGCUAAAACAACAGGCUGAAAGAAGCUGAACCAGGGGCGGAGGAGAACUGCAGAAAAGGGUGUAAAAUGAAUGGACUUUUGUUUCCAAAUGUGCAUUCAGAGCAGGUGGUCAGGCCUGACCUGGCUUUAUACUCACUGGUGACAACUGUGCCACUC